CCUACGGGAGGCAGCAGUGAGGAAUAUUGGUCAAUGGGCGCGAGCCUGAACCAGCCAAGUCGCGUGAGGGAAGACGGCCCUACGGGUUGUAAACCUCUUUUGCCGGGGAGCAACGGGCGCCACGUGUGGCGCCACUGCUAGUACCCGUAGAAAAAGCAUCGGCUAACUCCGUGCCAGCAGCCGCGGUAAUACGGAGGAUGCGAGCGUUCUCCGGAUUUAUUGGGUUUAAGGGGUGCGUAGGCGGAGCGUUAAGUCAGUGGUAAAAUUGAGGGGCUCAACCCCUUCCCGCCAUUGAAACUGGAGCUCUGGAGUGGAAGAGAAGUAGGCGGAAUGCGUGGUGUAGCGGUGAAAUGCAUAGAGAUCACGCAGAACCCCGAUUGCGAAGGCAGCAUGCCGGCUUCCGACUGACGCUGAAGCACGAAAGCGUGGGGAUCGAACAGGAUUAGAUACCCCAGUAGUC
rnacentral:rRNA from 1 species